GUGCUUACAUCCAUGAGAACUGGGACAGGGUACAGCCUGGCCGCUACGGCAGCUGAGUGACCUGGACCCAUUUCUGUGAAGAGGUGUGACCUUCGUAUUUCUCUCUGAAACUAGGCUACAGAGGAAGAGAUCAAAAUGGUCUCAAAUUAUUCUACUGAAGAAACCAUUAAAAGAAUCUACGUCGACUGUCCGGUUUCAGGGAGGCACAGUUACAUCUACAUUAUGGUUCCAACUGUUUACAGUAUCAUCUUCAUCAUAGGCAUAUUUGGAAACAGCCUGGUCGUUAUUGUCAUUCACUGCUACAUGAAAUUAAAAACAGUAGCCAGCAUCUUUCUGCUAAACCUGGCCCUGGCUGACCUGUGCUUUCUCAUAACUCUGCCGCUCUGGGCAGCCUACACAGCCAUGGAGUACCAGUGGCCUUUUGGCAACUGCUUAUGUAAGUUAGCGUCAGCGGGGAUAAGUUUCAAUUUGUACGCCAGCGUGUUCCUGCUCACGUGCCUCAGUAUUGACCGGUACCUGGCCAUAGUACACCCAGUGAAGUCCCGAAUUCGGCGUACCAUUUUCGUUGCCAGAGUAACUUGUAUUGCCAUCUGGCUUCUAGCUGGCGUGGCCAGUUUGCCUGUCAUCAUUCACCGUAAUAUAUUCUUUGCAGAGAAUUUGAACAUGACAGUCUGUGGUUUUCGGUAUGACAAUAAUAAUACAACGCUCCGGGUUGGGUUAGGUUUAUCCAAAAAUUUGCUGGGCUUUUUAAUACCUUUUUUGAUCAUAUUAACAAGCUAUACCUUAAUUUGGAAGACCCUGAAGAAAGCAUAUCAAAUUCAAAAAAAUAAGACCAGAAAUGAUGAUAUUUUUAAGAUGAUUGUGGCAAUAGUAUUUUUCUUCUUCUUUUCCUGGAUUCCUCAUCAAGUGUUCACUUUUCUGGACGUAUUAAUUCAAUUACAUGUAAUAACAGACUGCAAAAUCACUGAUAUAGUGGAUACAGCAAUGCCCUUCACCAUUUGCAUCGCUUACUUUAAUAACUGCUUGAAUCCCUUUUUUUAUGUUUUUUUUGGAAAAAAUUUUAAAAAAUACUUCCUUCAGCUAGUAAAAUAUAUUCCACCAAAUGUCAGUGCACAUCCCAGUCUAACAACAAAAAUGAGUUCCCUCUCAUAUCGACCACCAGAAAACAUACACUGACGCACUAAAAAGACUGCUGGGUCUUUUGACACCAGGUGAUGUGUUUUGCAAUAUAUUUUUUUCAGAACAACCUUGUGAACGAAACAGCAAGAGUGACAGAAUUCAUCUGCAGUCCUGAACACCACAGCUUACUGCUCAUUGCUAAAACAUUAAACCACCUCAAAGAAAUCAUACUGUAAGGAUUUAGCAGUGGCCUUUCGUUUUAUAUUAAGAGGACUGCUUGAUUUUCAUUUUGUUCUUCUUUACUGGAAGCAACAUAAAUGGUGGACAGGGACUUGGGUGUUUCUCCCAGCAUCCUGCCAUUUCCUUCAGAGGGUAGAUAAAACUGAAAAGAUUUCUGAACCGAAGUUAAAGGAAAAGCAUGUAUAAAUUGUAUGAAUUCAGAAGGACCUGUUUUGCACAUACCUGAGCAAUUUUAAUAGCCUAUCCCAGCGCUCACUGAACUUGCAGAUGAGCAGGUUGUAUCUACAGUCCAUAAUGGAUAACGAUGGAGAAUAUCCACUCAGCUCAGCACCAACUAGCUCCAAAAUUGCAUGCAGAACAGAGGCUCAGCAAUUCACUCGUAUUACUCAGAACAAGCUAAGCUAAUUAAGUUCCUUUGGACUAGAUAUUCAGCAAAUGACUAAUUUUGCUACACACAGCUUUGAGAUUAAAGGCAGAAUUUAAGAAGUUUAACUUUAGAAACUAAAUGAAGUUAACCUAGGGAGAGAUUCACCUAGCAUAGUGUGUCAAAUGUAGGGUAACAUUAAAUUACGACCAAUUAGUCCUGAAAAGCCAUAUUCAGGCUGCCUGUCCCAGAAUAUUCAGUGUAAAUAUACCCACUCAUUUAGAAUAAGUUUUGAAUUUUUUCUUAAGCAGUGCCAUGUUAUGCAGAGUAGAUAUGCCCUGAUGGGUUCACGAAAUUAGAAUCAUCAUCCUAGCAGUUGCUGGGCAGGGGUUUUUUGUUUGUUUUUCUCCAAAAAGGGUGGUAGAAUAGAACAAAUAUUUCCAUUUCAAAUUUGUACAAAAAUCAAAUUAAAUUUAAUCUUGCAUAUCACUAGCAAAGCCCACCUCAUGUUCAGUUUUUUAGUGUUACACACUGGAAAAAAGUGUAAACAGUUAUAGGCUGGACCUAUAAGAUAGUUAUCCAGUAGGUAAGUUAGAUGUAUUUUAAUCAUUCCUCUGCUUUAUAUAUUGGCAGCACUGUGAUGCUACAAUCAAGUAUGAGUAUGGGGGAAAAAAAAAGAUAUUGUUAGAACAGGAUAGAAGGCAGACUGUUACAGAACAAAGGAGAAAACUGCAAAUUUAUUUUCACUCUGCAGAUAAACAUUAAAAAAGAAAAGAAAAAAGAGGGAGCCCAAAAAAUUCUCUCAUAGGAAAAAAAUAUAGAGUGUAGAAAGCAAAAUACUAGAAAGUUUCAUGUUGUGAGCUCAUGUAAAGAUGAGGGAGGAAAUUCCCUCCCCCCCCCCCCAAAUUUUUAAGUGCCUCAAACCAAUAUUCUCAAGAAAACAAAAACUCAGCCGUUUUUCUUAAAUUGAAUGAAUAGCCAAAAGUGUUUUAGUCAAUGAAGAUUUGCCACUAUCGACAUUUCUUUAAGGGAAAAUGGUACAUUAUUCUUUGUAAACCCAUCAGAUAUUAUAUGUCCAAGAAAGGAAGACAAUGUACAUAUAGACAUACAGACAUAUCAGUUUUACCCACCUAACCUGAACUUGUCCUCAUCCUUAAUUUACUACAUAAUAUACAAACACAGAAAACAAACCAAAAUAAAAUAUAAAAUAAGUUCACAAAAUUUUAUAUAAUACUAUAUAUAUAUUUAUAUAUAAUUUUGCUGAACAGUUAUGGAAUACUAAGGGAUCUAAAUAAGUUUGUUUUCACAAGUUUUUAUUCAUUUAACAGAUAGCUUUUAUAUAUAUAGCUUUUGUAAGUUUUCAGUUUUGCACUGUAAAAAAAAGUCCAAGCUCAACAAGAAUUUGCAGACCUGAAGGCCUCUUUCUGUAGGGGAGUAUCUAUAGAGUGAGGGGAUGUGCAUGAUUUGCAGGAUACCUUUCAGGGACAAGGUAUAAACAAACACGUACAUGAGAUGCAAUUGCAUUUACUAGAUGAUUGUUAACAUUGAAGCUAUUUUUUGUGAAAUUGAAUUAUAUGAUUACUCUAAAUAGCAAGCAAAGAAGCAUGUAGAGAUGCAUACUUUGUUGCACACUGGAUUGUAUUAUACAGUGCAGUGUAUAUAUAUGUUUAAUAUAGGGAUGUGAUAUUUCUGAUAUUUUUGAAUUUCUCUGGGUAUCUAUAGUAACUUUCUGUACGACUUCUUCAAUUUUUACAUAAGAGUGGACAACAGAUAUGUCACAGCACUGUUUUAGAAAGACCAAGUUUUAGAUAGGUUUAUCUCUAAUUCUGCAAGAAAGUAACCAUUUUUCAUAGAAACAUUAUCUGUAACAAAGUGAUCAUAUUUUGAAGUGUUGAAAAUA